rnacentral:rRNA from 1 species
GUGCCAGCAGCGGCGGUAAUACGGAGGAUCCGAGCGUUAUCCGGAUUUAUUGGGUUUAAAGGGUGCGUAGGCGGCCCGUUAAGUCAGGGGUGAAAUACGGUGGCUCAACCAUCGCAGUGCCUUUGAUACUGACGGGCUUGAAUCCAUAUGAAGUGGGCGGAAUAAGACAAGUAGCGGUGAAAUGCAUAGAUAUGUCUUAGAACUCCGAUUGCGAAGGCAGCUCACUAAGCUGGUAUUGACGCUGAUGCACGAAAGCGUGGGGAUCGAACAGGAUUAGAUACCCUGGUAGUCCACGCCCUAAACGAUGAUAACUCGAUGUUGGCGAUAGACAGCCAGCGUCCCAGCGAAAGCGUUAAGUUAUCCACCUGGGGAGUACGCCCGCAAGGGUGAAACUCAAAGGAAUUGACGGGGGCCCGCACAAGCGGAGGAGCAUGUGGUUUAAUUCGAUGAUACGCGAGGAACCUUACCGGGCUUGAAAGUUAGUGAAGGAUGCAGAGACGCAUCCGUCUCGGAC